GACGAACGCUGGCGGCGUGCUUAACACAUGCAAGUCGAACGGCAAGGCCCUGCUUUUGUUGGGUGCUCGAGUGGCGAACGGGUGAGUAACACGUGAGUAACCUGCCCUUUACUUUGGGAUAACUUCAGGAAACUGGGGCUAAUACCUGAUAGGAGCUCCUGCUGCCUGGUGGGGUUUGGACCGUUUAGGCUGUUGGGGAUGGACUCGCGGCUUAUCAGCUUGUUGGUGGGGUAGUUGCUUACCAAGGCUUUGGCGGGUAGCCGGCCUGAGAGGGUGACCGGCCACAUUGGGACUGAGAUACGGACCAGAGUCCAAUGGGAGGCAGCAGUGGAGAAUAUUACACAAUGGGCGGAAGCGUGAGGCAGAAACGCCGCGGGCGGGAAGACGGCCUUCGGGUUGUAAAACGCUUUCGCCUGUGACGAAGCGUGAGUGACGGUAAUGGGUAAAGAAGCACCGGCUAACUACGUG
rnacentral:rRNA from 1 species